rfam:Oryza meridionalis cultivar OR44 (W2112) chromosome 7, whole genome shotgun sequence.
UUUAAGUGCAACCAUGAGUUUCCGUGUCUAAUUUUGAUUAUCCGUCUUAUUUGAAAUUUUGUUAUAAUUAGUACUUUUAUUGUUAUGAGAUGAUAAAACAUGAAUAAUACUUUAUGUGUUACUUAUGUUUCUAAUUUUUUCAAAAAAUUUUCAAACAAGACGAACGAUCAAAAUUGGUUACGGAAAAUCAUGGCUUCACUUAAA